GGUGAGUCGGGUCCUAAGGCGAGGCCGACAGGCGUAGUCGAAUGGAUGAACGGGUGGAUAUUCCCGUACCGACCAUGGACCGGCAAAACCGAGACGGUGAGUACUAACCUCCGCCUCGUGGUGGUUCCUUCCUUCGGGUUGGUAUCGCCGCGUGGUGUUGGGAGCGUAGCCGCAGUAGGUCAGCGCAGGGGUGACACGGAAUGGGAGCCGGCCGCGGAGGUGGUUUUCCGUGGUCAAGCACGCAGCCAGUCAUGUAGGCAAAUCCGCAUGGCGCGCAUGGCGAGGUGUGAUGAUGGGAGCCGUUAUGGCUCGAUAUCCGGUUGUCCAGGCCGUCGAGAAAAGCCUCGGCGUGAGGGCCAUGGCCGCCCGUACCCCAAACCGACACUGGUGGUCAGGUAGAGAAUACCAAGGCGAUCGAGCGAAUCCUGGUCAAGGAACUCGGCAAAUCACUCCCGUGCCUUCGGUAUAAGGGAGACCCGCUGGGGUGAACCGGCUAGCCCGGGGAGCUUUGGUGGGUGGCACAGACCAGGGGGUAGCGACUGUUUACCAAAAACACAGGUGCAUGCGAAGGCGAAAGCCGCUGUAUAUGCACUGACGCCUGCCCGGUGCCGGAAGGUUAAGAGGAUCCGUCAAUCCCUUCGGGGACGAAGCGGUGAAUUCAAGCCCCGGUAAACGGCGGUGGUAACUAUAACCAUCCUAAGGUAGCGAAAUUCCUUGUCGGGUAAGUUCCGACCUGCACGAAUGGCGUAACGACUUCCCCACUGUCUCGACCAGGAGCUCGGCGAAAUUGCAGUACGAGUAAAGAUGCUCGUUAAGCGCAGAAGGACGAAAAGACCCCGGGACCUUUACUAUACCUUGGUAUUGGCGUUAGGCGCGGAUUGUGUAGCAUAGGCGGGAGGCUUUGAAACGGUGGCGCCAGCCAUCGCGGAGCCGCAAGGUGAAAUACCGCUCUGUUCUCGUUUGACGUCUAACCUCGACAAGUCAUCCUUGUCAGGGACAGUGCCUGGCGGGUAGUUCAACUGGGGCGGUUGCCUCCCAAAGAGUAACGGAGGCGCUCAAAGGUCCGCUCAGCCCGGUUGGCAAUCGGGUGUCGAGUGUAAUCGCACAAGCGGGCUUGACUGCGAGGACGACGGUCCGAGCAGGGACGAAAGUCGGAGAUAGUGAUCCGGUGCCGGCGCACGGGCGCGGCAUCGCUCAACGGAUAAAAGGUACCCCGGGGAUAACAGGCUGAUCAUUCCCAAGAGUCCAUAUCGACGGGAUGGUUUGGCACCUCGAUGUCGGCUCGUCGCAUCCUGGGGCUGGAGCAGGUCCCAAGGGUUCGGCUGUUCGCCGAUUAAAGCGGCACGCGAGCUGGGUUCAGAACGUCGUGAGACAGUUUGGUCUCUAUCCUCUGCGCUCGUUGGAAUCCUGAGGAGGCCUGCCCAUAGUACGAGAGGACCUGGGUGGACGAACCUCUGGUAUGCCGGUUGUCGCGCCAGCGGCACGGCCGGUUGGCUACGUUCGGGAGGGAUAACCGCUGAAAGCAUCUAAGCGGGAAGCCUGCUCCAAGAUUAGGAUUCCAUGGAUCUUCGAGAUCCUGUAGCCCGCAUGUUGAACACGUGUUUGAUAGGCCGGAGGUGGAAGCCCCGUGAGGGGUGGAGCCGACCGGUACUAACGGGCGACGGCGACAUAAC
rnacentral:rRNA from 1 species